GCUGAUGCUCAGGUAUUAAAUUAUUUUUUCUCAUGUAAGUUAAUAGUUCCUUGACUAUAACUUUUUCCAUAAUUUUACAGCAUGUCGACGUGAGACUUACAGGUCUAUAGUUAGCAGGAUCAAGUUUAUCUCCUGACUUGUACAAAGGCGUGAUUGUUGCUUGCAACCACUCGUAGGGCAAAGUGCCUUGUAAGAAUGAUUUUGUCAUCAUUUUGGCAAGUGGGCCCGACAACGAAGCAGCACAAGUUCUCAGGAGUUUGGGAGGUAUCUGAUCCGGACCUGGAGCUGUAUUUAAUUUAAUGGCACAGAGUUGGCUUUUUACCAGAUCCGGAGUAAAAUUAAUAUAAGACAACCCACUAAAUGUAGCAGCAAAACUGUCCGCUAAAGUGUUUGCAGUUUCUGUAUGAUCGGAGCAGAGUAGACCUGAAGCAUUUCGUACUAAAGGGACCGAUACACGACUAGAGAUAAAUUUACGUACAUGGGAAUAAAAUAGUUUUGGUUUAUUUAAUAUAGAAUUUUCAUAAUUACACCUGGCUAUUUGUAAAUCAGAUUUUAGUUGGUUAGAAAAUCUUUUAUAAGCAGAAAAAUUAUCUUCAGUAGGCUUCCUUUUAAAUUUUUUCCAUAAUUUAGCUUUGUAUUUUAUUUUGUCAAGCAUGUGUUGAUUUAUCCACGGUUUAUCUUUUCUCAGUCGGUUUGUAAACAGUCUGGAAUUUGUUGUAAUGCAAGUUUGUAAAAUCGAUUUAAAAUGUUUCCAUUGUUCUUCCGCAUUUAGUGAAUCUAAACCAUUCCAGUCGUAAGUCAAGAGACUUUCGUCUAUGCGAGUGUAGUCAACAAUUGAUGUUGUUUUAAUUCUUGCAUUUGGCUCUGAAUAUAUCAUAAUUUGUAACUCAAUUUCGAUUUUUGAAUGAUCAGAUGUACCUACAGGAUUCGAAACGUUUAAAGACGAUACAAGGUUAACGUCAGACAAAAUUACCAAAUCAAGUAAUGAAGGACGUUGUUGGGAUCUAAAUCGUGUAGGUUCAGUGACUAUUUGUGACAAAUUAUUCUCCAAGAGCAAUUCAGAAAAUUGUUUUUCGAUGAUUGUUUGACCUGUUGUGUUUUUAGCAGACCAGUCUAUACAUGGAAAAUUGAAAUCUCCCAUGAUAAUUAAGUUAGGAUACUGAUUAAUAGUUGAUUGUAUGGUAUUAAAUAGAUUUUUAUCAUUUUCGUGAUUGUUAAAAGACGCUCCUGUUGGUGGUCUGUAAAUACAUGCUAUAACAAAGG